UUGAUAACAGGGAAAGGACCUUGAACUGGGCUAGGCUCAACAUGCAACAACAUAAUCUGCAACAGCUGGAGGAACCUUUCUCUGAAGAAGUGGUGAAAGAAGUGAUCAUGCAUAUGCAAUCUGAAAAGGCAGCUUUAUUGAUAUUUUCUUCAAAACCACAUGGGAUAUUAUCAGGUGUGAUCUGAUGGCAGCGGCGAACUAUUUUUUUGAACAGAGGCGUCAACACUUCAAG
rnacentral:lncRNA from 1 species